rnacentral:rRNA from 1 species
AUUGAACGCUGGCGGCAUGCUUUACACAUGCAAGUCGAACGGUAACAGGUUAAGCUGACGAGUGGCGAACGGGUGAGUAAUGCAUCGGAACGUGCCCGAUCGUGGGGGAUAACGCAGCGAAAGCUGCGCUAAUACCGCAUACGAUCUGAGGAUGAAAGCGGGGGACCGUAAGGCCUCGCGCGAUCGGAGCGGCCGAUGUCGGAUUAGGUAGUUGGUGGGGUCAAGGCCCAACAACCCGACGAUCUGUAGCUGGUCUGAGAGGACGACCAGCCAGACUGGGACUGAGACACGGCCCAGACUCCUACGGGAGGCAGCAGUGGGGAAUGUUGGACAAUUGGCGAAAGCCUGAUCCAGCAAUGCCGCGUGCAGGAAGAAGGCCUUCGGGUUGUAAACUGCUUUUGUACGGAGCGAAAAGGUCCUUUCUAAUACAAGGGGCUCAUGACGGUACCGUAAGAAUAAGCACCGGCUAACUACGUGCCAGCAGCCGCCGUAAUAC